UACGUAGGGGGCAAGCGUUGUCCGGAUUUAUUGGGCGUAAAGCGCUCGCAGGUGGUUCGUCGCGUCGUGCGUGAAAGACCCCGGCUCAACUGGGGGAGGUCGUGCGAUACGGGCGGACUGGAGGCCAGUAGGGGGAUGCGGAAUUCCGGGUGUAGUGGUGGAAUGCGUAGAGAUCCGGAGGAACACCAGCGGCGAAGGCGGGUUGCUGGGCUGACACUGACGCUGAUGCGCGAAAGCCAGGGAGCGAACGGG
rnacentral:rRNA from 1 species